rnacentral:lncRNA from 1 species
AUGUCCUCCCUUUCAGAAUAUGCUUUGCGCAUGUCUCCUCUCAGUGCUCGGCUAUUUUGUCAAGUCGCCAGGCCUACUGAUUCCAAGGCUAUGAAAGUGGUGAAACUAUUUAGUGAACCUCCCGUGGCCAAGAAAAAGGAAAUUUAUGACUGAUAUCCAGAUCACAAUACUUAAUACUGCACUCACGGGGACACUCCAAUUUCUUGGACUCUACAGAGAUAAGCAUCAAGAUUUUAAAGAUGAGCAAAAAGGACUAAAGAAGCUUCGUGGAAAGGAGAAACCAAAGAAACGAGAAGGGAAAAGAGCAGCAAAAAGGAAAUAG